GAUAGGAGAGUGCACUGGUGCUCUGUGGAUAAGUGGAUUUGGUACCGAAGGCAUCUUUCUCUUAUUUUGCUAAGGAUGAUUCAUAGAUGGUAAGAGAGAACAAAGGACUCCUCUGACCUCACAGUGUCGACAUCCAAACAGGAGACUGGAUACAGCCAACGAGGAGCUAAGGGAUGCCCAGACACCUGAAGCCCCGGGUUCCAUCCCCAAACACUACAGAAAGUCAAACUUAAAAUAAGUACACAG
rnacentral:lncRNA from 1 species